rnacentral:sRNA from 1 species
UGAAAUCCAGCAAUGCCAACACCGUCAG